rnacentral:rRNA from 1 species
CAGCAGCCACGGUAAUACGUAGGUGGCAAGCGUUGUCCGGAAUUAUUGGGCGUAAAGGGCUCGCAGGCGGUUUCUUAAGUCUGAUGUGAAAGCCCCCGGCUCAACCGGGGAGGGUUAUUGGAAACUGGGAAACUUGAGUGCAGAAGAGGAGAGUGGAAUUCCACGUGUAGCGGUGGAAUGCGUAGAGAUGUGGAGGAACACCAGUGGCGAAGGCGACUCUCUGGUCUGUAACUGACGCUGAGGAGCGAAAGCGUGGGGAGCGAACAGGAUUAGAUACCCGGGUAGUCCCUGUCUCUUAUAC